UACGUAGGGUGCAAGCGUUAAUCGGAAUUACUGGACGUAAAGCGUGCGCAGGCGGUUUUGUAAGUCAGAUGUGAAAUCCCCGGGCUUAACCUGGGAACUGCGUUUGAAACUACAAGGCUAGAGUGUGGCAGAGGGGGGUGGAAUUCCACGUGUAGCAGUGAAAUGCGUAGAGAUGUGGAGGAAUACCGAUGGCGAAGGCAGCCCCCUGGGAUAACACUGACGCUCAUGCACGAAAGCGUGGGGAGCAAACAGG
rnacentral:rRNA from 1 species